rnacentral:rRNA from 1 species
GAUGAACGCUAGUGGCAGGCCUAACACAUGCAAGUCGAGGGGUAUCCCGCUUUCGGGCGGGAGAGACCGGCGCACGGGUGCGUAACGCGUAUGCAACCUACCCUGUACUGGGGGAUAGCCCGGAGAAAUUCGGAUUAACACCCCAUAGUACUAAUGAAUGGCAUCAUUUAUUAGUUAAAGGUUACGGUACAGGAUGGGCAUGCGUCCUAUUAGCUAGAUGGUAAGGUAACGGCUUACCAUGGCUACGAUAGGUAGGGGGCCUGAGAGGGUGGUACCCCACACUGGUACCGGGACACGGACCAGACUCCUACGGGAGGCAGCAGUGAGGAAUAUUGGUCAAUGGGCGCAAGCCUGAACCAGCCAUGCCGCGUGCAGGAAGACGGUCCUAUGGAUUGUAAACUGCUUUUAUUUGGGAAUAAACCUCUUUACGUGUAGAGAGCUGAAGGUACCAAAUGAAUAAGCACCGGCUAACUCCGUGCCAGCAGCCGCCGUAA